UACAGAGGGUGCGAGCGUUAAUCGGAAUUACUGGGCGUAAAGCGUGCGUAGACGGUUAUGUAAGUCGGAUGUGAAAGCCCCGGGCUCAACCUGGGAGUUGCAUUCGAGACUGCGUAGCUAGGGUGCGGAAGAGGGAAGCGGAAUUUCCGGUGUAGCGGUGAAAUGCGUAGAUAUCGGAAGGAACACCAGUGGCGAAAGCGGCUUCCUGGUCCAGCACCGACGUUCAGGCACGAAAGCGUGGGGAGCAAACAGG
rnacentral:rRNA from 1 species